rnacentral:misc_RNA from 1 species
GAUGAAGAACGCAGCGAAAUGCGAUAAGUAAUGUGAAUUGCAGAAUUCAGUGAAUCAUCGAAUCUUUGAACGCACAUUGCGCCCGCCAGUAUUCUGGCGGGCAUGCCUGUUCGAGCGUCAUUUCAACCAUCAAGCCCCAGGCUUGUGUUGGGGACCUGCGGCUGCCGCAGGCCCUGAAAACCAGUGGCGGGCUCGCUGUCACACCGGGCGUAGUAGAUUUUAUCUCGCUCAGGGCGUGCUGCGGGUUCCGGCCGUUAAAAAGCCUUUUUUACCCAAGGUUGACCUCGGAUCAGGUAGGAAGACCCGCUGAACUUAAGCAUAUCAAUAAGGGGAGGA